rnacentral:ncRNA from 1 species
AAAAUCGCUAUGACGAAGAGGAGUAAAUCACAUCCUUAGAGAGAAUUCUAAUGCUGAAAUGAAUUCAUCGUGAUCGAAGCAGCUUCUGAGCUCAAAUAUUGAAUUAAUAGUAGAUGUUUGCGAUUUGCAAUCGUUAUUUUGCAGUUUACCUUUAAGAGUGAUCGAUGCCUUGGCAUCUUUAAGUAGGGUGGUACCGCGAUAUUGUCGUCCCUACA